rnacentral:rRNA from 1 species
AUGGUUCAUUCAAAUUUCUUCCCUAUCAACUUUCGAUGUUUGGGUAUUGGCCAAACAUGGUUGCAACGGGUAACGGAGGGUUAGGGCUCGACCCCGGAGAAGGAGCCUGAGAAACGGCUACUACAUCCAAGGAAGGCAGCAGGCGCGCAAAUUACCCAAUCCCGACUCGGGGAGGUAGUGACAAUAAAUACUGAUACAGGGCUCUUUUGGGUCUUGUAAUUGGAAUGAGUACAAUUUAAAUCCCUUAACGAGGAACAAUUGGAGGGCAAGUCUGGUGCCAGCAGCCCGCGGUAAUUCCAGCUCCAAUAGCGUAUAUUAAAGUUGUUGUGGUUAAAAAGCUCGUAGUUGAACCUUGGGCCUGGCUGGCCGGUCCGCCUCACCGCGUGUACUGGUCCGGCCGGGCCUUUCCCUCUGUGGAACCCCAUGCCCUUCACUGGGUGUGGCGGGGAAACAGGACUUU